rnacentral:rRNA from 1 species
AUUGAACGCUAGCGGGAUGCCUUCCACAUGCAAGUCGAACGAGCGGCGGCCGGGUGAGUAAUAUAUCGGAACGUGCCCAGUAGCGGGGGCUAACUACUCGAAAGCGUGGCUAAUACCGCACACUAUUGUCGCGGCCGUAAUCGGAUUAGCUAGUGGGUGGGGUAAAGGCUCCCCAAGGCAACGAUCCGGAGUUGGUUUGAGAGGACUACCAGCCACACUGGGACUGAGACACGGCCCAGACUCCUACGGGAGGCAGCAGUGGGGAAUUUUGGACAAUGGGGGAAACCCUGAUCCAGCCAUCCCGCGUGUAUGAGAAGGCCUUCGGGUUGUAAAGUACUUUUGGCAGAGAGGCGGUAUCUGCAGAAUAAGCACCGGCUAACGACGUGCCAGCAGCCGCGGUAAUAC